AUUAAAGAAAUUUAUGUACAUUUAGUGGAUGCCUAGACAAGAGUGAAAUGGACGUAUAGCGAAACGAAAAGCUAUAUACAAUUGUCGUAAUACAAGAUGAUAUAGAUCUCCAUAGAGGAAACUCAAUUAUAAAUUUUACCUAGUGAAUUGAAACAUCUUAGUAACUAGAGGAAAAAAAAUCAACCGAGACUCCGUUAGUAGUGGUGAGCGAAAGCGGAAUAGGCCAAAUCAAUAUUUUAAACACAACUCUGUGAAACAUGUAAUCUAUAUUGUUGUAGCAAAUCCAAGUAAUUUGAAAUAACACGCCAUAGAAGGUUAAAGCCCUGUGUAUUUCAUGUAUUUAUGUUAUUAAAAUUUACAGAGAAAGUUUUAAUUUCAUUUAAUAAAUUUCAUUUAUUUUACAUGAACUGUGAAGCAAUAUAUAUAUUGAUAAUAUAGUAUUCUUUUAGAGAUACUAUAUAGUUUGAGUAGAACGAGAACAAACUUGUUUGAAAAUAGGGGGACCACCCUCUAAGCCUAAGUACGCACUCUUGAUCGAUAGUGAACUAGUACCGUGAGGGAAAGGUGAAAAAGAAGUGAAAUAAAUACUGAAACUGGAUGUAUACAAGCACUCAAAGCUUUGUAACUUAUUUAUAUUUAAAUAAGCUGUUUAACAACAACACAGAGUAAUGGGGUACCUUUUGUAUAAUGGGUCAACGAGUAAAUAAAUGAAGCAAGCUUAAGCGACUAAGUGGAGGCGUAGUAAAAACGCUAAUAAAUUAGAUUUAUUUUAUAAAUUUCAUUUAUUUUAACAAGUGUCAUUUAUUUGACCCGAAACCGAGUGAUCUAGUCAUGAACAGGUUGAAAAAAUGCUAACACGUUUUGGAGGACCGAAUUCACGUCUGUGGCAAUAGACGGAAAUGAUUUGUGACUAGGGGUGAAAAGCCAAUCGAACUCGGAGAUAGCUGGUUUUCUGCGAAAUUUAUUUAGGUAAAGUCUAGAAUAUAUAUAACAAGGGGGUAGAGCAACUCGCUGGGUAAGGGUGGCCCAAAGCCUUACUAAAUCCAAGGAAACUCCUAAUACCUUGUUAUACUCUCCUAGAAUCAGACUUUGGGCGCUAAGGUCCAAAGUCGAAAGGGAAACAGCCCAGAUCGAACGCUAAGGUUCCAAAGCGUAUAUUUAGUGGUAAAGGAGGUUAUUGAGCCCAGACAACCAGCAAGUAGGCUUAGAAGCAGCCAUCUUAUAAUGAAAGCGUAGUAGCUCACUGGUCUAUAUAGUUAUACAUUUUUAUUAAUGUAUAGGCUCAAUAGCGCCGAAAAUGUAACGGAGCUCAAGUAUACCACCGAAGCGGCGGCUAUAUAUAGUAAAUCAAAAACUACUAUUUAUAGGGUAGCAGAACGUUCUGUAAGUAGGUUUAUAAUAAAUACGUAAGCAUUUAUUUAUAUAUCAGAAGUGAGAAUGUUGACAUGAGUAACGUAAAAUCAUGUGUGAUUCAUGAUCGCCGAAAAUCCAGUGUUUUCUACAAACUAGAAUUUAAUGUAGAGUUAAUCGGCCCCUAAGUGUUUCUAGCGAUUGCUAUAACAUAAUGGGUACAAGAAUUUAAAAUUUCUUGAUGUAUACUAUAUUACGAAUAGUACCUAUUUUAAAAGAUAAACGGAUUUCUUUUGAAAUAUACCUAUUCCAGGAAAAAAGUAGUAGCUUGUUUCUUUAAUUAGAAAUAAGAUUUAGACACCGUACUUUCCGACACUGGAGGAUGAGUAGAAUAUACUAAGGCGUAGAGAGAACCAUAUUAAAGGAACUCGGCAAAUUGCCUCCGUAACUUCGGGAUAAGGAGGACCAUGUAGAAAUACCUGUUAUAGGUAUUUAAGUGGUGGCACAAAAUAGGGAGUAACGACUGUUUAAUAAAAACACAGGACUCUGCAAAGCGGUAACGCGACGUAUAGGGUCUGACACCUGCCCGGUGCUGGAAACUUAAGUGGAGAGGUUUGAUGCUGUUUUAUUUGCAAAAAUAAAACAAAUUCCAGCUUUUAAAUUAAUGUCCAGUAAACGGCGGCUGUAACUCUAACAGUCCUAAGGUUAAUGUUAUAGCUCAUUGUUUUAUAUACAAAAAAACAAAAAUUUCGCAGCCUUAGUAAAACUAUACCGUAUGCUGGAAAACCCUCGUAGUUUAUUAACUAGAUAAAAAAAUGCUCUCCAUUUAUAAUAAAUUAAAUAAAUAGAAAGCAAUAUUUUUAUUACAGCCUAUUAGUACAUAUGAUUAACCAUAAAAAGUAUUCCAUAUUGUGAAAAUCUAAUAGGACAUGGGGACAAUCAGCAGGAAACGUAAAUUUAAAACCCAACGCGAGUUUAAAACCCAAAUAAAUUUUAUUUUUUAACUCAAUACGGUUAUAACUUACGGAUCCUCAGAGACUUUACGUAUAGGCAUUUGAAUAAUAAAUAUAUACAUUUGAUAUCAUGAAUUUACAUGCACAAUGGAUUAUAGGGUUUAUUGAUGGAAAAGGAUUUUUCAAUAUACAUACUAGAAAAAACACACAGGAAGUUUGUGGUAUUGAAAUAAUAUCAGAAUUUGUUGUAGUUUUACCUCAAAAAGAUAUACAAGUUCUAUAUGCUCUAAAAUCUUAUUUUGGGUGUGGAGUUGUAAAAAACAAUUCUUUCGUUAUAAAAAAUCGUAAACAUCUAUAUGAUAAAAUUAUACCAUUUUUUGAAAAACAUAAAUUAUUAACAAAAAAACGCAUUGAUUUUGAAAAAUUUCGUUUUGUUGUUAAAUUUAUGAUUGAAAAGAAACAUUUUACAGGUAAUAUUGAUCAAGAUCUUGAGAAUUUAAAAGAUUUUAAAGAUUUGGGUGAAUUAAAAAAAUGUUUACUCUAUUUUGAAAAUGCAAAUAAAUAGUAUUUAUUAACUACAUUCAAAUGUAAGAGCAAGUCCAUCCUCUUGAUUUAAUAAUACGAGAUAGAUAUCAAUUCGAUUCGCUUUGAUUUGUCUAUUCAUUUUAUGCACUUAAAAUAAAUGAAAUUUAUUUUAAAACAGCAAAUGCAUAAAAUUAAAUCUUACAACUGAAAGGUAGAGGGUUAAAUGAGCGAAAUUCAUUGCCGGGUAAGUUCCGGCCUGCAUGAAUGGUGUAACGAUUACUCCGCUGUCUCUAAUAUGGUCUCAGUGAAAUUGAAUUCUCCGUGAAGAUGCGGAGUUCCCCAAAGUAGACGGAAAGACCCUAAGCAUCUUUACUGCAACUUUACGUUGAAAAAGGAUAUUGAUUGUAGAGGAUAGGUGGGAGCCUUGAUAAAAAAAGGCAACCUUGAAAUACCACCCUUUCUAUAUUGUUUUUCUAAGCACAGCAACAGCGUAUAGUGGGUAGUUUGACUGGGGCGGUCGUUUUCUAAAAAGUAACGAAAACGUGCGAAGGUAAGCUCAAGCUGGAAGGAAAUCAGCUGUAGAGCGUAAUGGUAUAAGCUUGCCUGACUGUGAGACUUACAA
rnacentral:rRNA from 1 species